CGGACAGAUGGGAGCUUGCUCCCUGAUGUUAGCGGCGGACGGGUGAGUAACACGUGGGUAACCUGCCUGUAAGACUGGGAUAACUCCGGGAAACCGGGGCUAAUACCGGAUGCUUGUUUGAACCGCAUGGUUCAAACAUAAAAGGUGGCUUCGGCUACCACUUACAGAUGGACCCGCGGCGCAUUAGCUAGUUGGUGAGGUAAUGGCUCACCAAGGCAACGAUGCGUAGCCGACCUGAGAGGGUGAUCGGCCACACUGGGACUGAGACACGGCCCAGACUCCUACGGGAGGCAGCAGUAGGGAAUCUUCCGCAAUGGACGAAAGUCUGACGGAGCAACGCCGCGUGAGUGAUGAAGGUUUUCGGAUCGUAAAGCUCUGUUGUUAGGGAAGAACAAGUACCGUUCGAAUAGGGCGGUACCUUGACGGUACCUAACCAGAAAGCCACGGCUAACUACGUGCCAGCAGCCGCGGUAAUACGUAGGUGGCAAGCGUUGUCCGGAAUUAUUGGGCGUAAAGGGCUCGCAGGCGGUUCCUUAAGUCUGAUGUGAAAGCCCCCGGCUCAACCGGGGAGGGUCAUUGGAAACUGGGGAACUUGAGUGCAGAAGAGGAGAGUGAAAUUCCACGUGUAGCGGUGAAAUGCGUAGAGAUGUGGAGGAACACCAGUGGCGAAGCG
rnacentral:rRNA from 1 species